rnacentral:rRNA from 1 species
AUACGUAGGGGGCGAGCGUUGUCCGGAAUGAUUGGGCGUAAAGGGCGCGUAGGCGGCCCGGUAAGUCUGGAGUGAAAGUCCUGUUUUUAAGAUGGGAAUUGCUUUGGAUACUGUCGGGCUUGAGUGCAGGAGAGGUAAGUGGAAUUCCCAGUGUAGCGGUGAAAUGCGUAGAGAUUGGGAGGAACACCAGUGGCGAAGGCGACUUAUUGGACUGUAACUGACGCUGAGGCGCGAAAGUGUGGGGAGCAAACAGGAUUAGAUACCCUGGUAGUCCACACUGUAAACGAUGAAUGCUAGGUGUAGGGGGUAUCGACCCCUUCUGUGCCGCAGUCAACACAAUAAGCAUUCCGCCUGGGGAGUACGGCCGCAAGGUUGAAACUCAAAGGAAUUGACGGGG